ensembl:misc_RNA Metazoa_SRP Metazoan signal recognition particle RNA
GCCGGGCGUGGUGGCGCAUGCCUGUAGUCCCAGUUACUUAGGAGGCUGAGGCAGGAGAAUCACUUGAACCUGGGAGACAGAGGUUGCAGUGAGCUGAGAUCAGGCCACUGCACUCCAGCCUGGGUGACAGAAUGAGACUCCGCCUCAA